rnacentral:lncRNA from 1 species
CUUCAGGCAGCACGAGUAACCGAUCGAGUACACGGAGCCUUCUCAGCGUGAGCAGUGGAAUGGAGGGCGACAAUGAGGACAAUGAAGUCCCUGAAAUUACCCGGAGUCGUGGCCCAGGUCCUACCCAGGUGGAUGGAGCUCCAGUUGUAACCGGAACACCCGUCGGGAUCCUUGAGAGACCUCCUAGGGUGCCUCCUCGAGCUGCUUCACAGAGGCCUCUAACCCGGGAGCCCUUCCAUCAUCCUCCUCCGCCAGUUCCACCCAGAGGUCGCUGAUUCCACCUCCUAGAUCCGGCCUACUUCGGGACUUUUAAGACUAGCCAUUCUCAGCCUCUUGAUGAAGUCUUCAUAUUGAGUUUUCUGCAUGACUAUGGACCUGGAGACCCACUGUCACUGGUGAUGGUGUAGCCCUGCUGGUUUGGGUGAUCCUUGAAGACAUUAUUAAG